GUACAUGAUACUGUGGUAAUUCUAGAGCUAAUACAUGCCACGAAGAGACGACCUUACGGAAGGCGUGCAUUUAUUAGGAUCAAGACCAACACGGGCUUGCCCGGCAUUGUUGGUGAACUCUGGAUAACUUCGCAGAUCGCAUUGUCAUCGAACAGGCGACAUUUCUUUCAAACGUCUGACCUAUCAAUUUUCGAUGGUACGAUAUGCGCCUACCAUGGUGCUAACGGGUGACGGGGAAUCAGGGUUCGAUUCCGGAGAGGGAGCCUGAGAAAUGGCUACCACAUCCAAGGAAGGCAGCAGGCGCGCAAAUUACCCACUCUCGACACGAGGAGGUAGUGACGAAAAAUAACAAUACAGGACCUUUACGAGGCCCUGUAAUUGGAAUGAGUACACUUUAAAUCCUUUAACGAGGAUCUACUGGAGGGCAAGUCUGGUGCCAGCAGCCGCGGUAAUUCCAGCUCCAGUGGCGUAUAUUAAUACUGCUGCAGUUAAAAAGCUCGUAGUUGGAUCUAGGGCGUAGGCUGAGGGUCCCUCGCAAGGGGUGUACCUCUCUGACCUGGCCUCCCUCGCGGUUUGCGCUCGGUUCUCUUAAUUGAGUGUCGGGUGCUACCGGAACGUUUACUUUGAAAAAAUUGGAGUGUUCAAAGCAGGCGCAACAGCCUGAACAGCAGAGCAUGGAAUAAUGGAAUAGGACCUCGGUUCUAUUGCGUUGGUUUUAAGAGUUACGAGGUAAUGAUUAAGAGGGACUGACGGGGGCAUUCGUAUUGCGGUGUGAGAGGUGAAAUUCUAGGAUCGCCGCAAGACGACCGACAGCGAAAGCAUUUGCCAAGAAUGUCUUCAUUAAUCAAGAACGAAAGUUAGAGGUUCGAAGGCGAUCAGAUACCGCCCUAGUUCUAACCAUACCCUUCCGACCGGCGAUUCGCCGGCGUUACUCCAAUGACACGGCAGGCAG
rnacentral:rRNA from 1 species